rnacentral:lncRNA from 12 species
ACAGAGUUUCCUUUUGCAGCUCACACGGAUCCUCCAGGUCCUGCUGCCAGGGGUAGUGCUGCCCUUCAUGGGAGGGGUGCUUUGGCUGAUCCACCUGACUCACUGGGUGGAUCAGUUCUCCAGCCAGGCUGAUGUCAUGGACCAGCAGCACACAGAGGGGAUCUGACAUUGCAAGGCAGAGGCACUCAGAAAGGAA